rnacentral:rRNA from 1 species
UACGGAGGGUGCAAGCGUUAAUCGGAAUUACUGGGCGUAAAGCGUGCGCAGGCGGUUUGUUAAGUCUGUUGUGAAAUCCCCGAGCUCAACUUGGGAAUUGCAAUGGAUACUGGCAGGCUGGAGUAUGGUAGAGGAAGGUGGAAUUCCCGGUGUAGCAGUGAAAUGCGUAGAGAUCGGGAGGAACACCGGUGGCGAAGGCGGCUCGCUGGGCAGUGGCUGACGCUGAGGCGCGACAGCGUGGGGAGCAAACAGG